CCUAAUAAGCUAAGUUAAGCGGGGAGUACAAGGGCCACCGCGCCAAUAUAAAAACUACUCCUAUUCAUUAGUUGAAAAAAAAAGACUCAUAUUAAAUUAAUCCCCCACCAACCCCCUUCCCCCCUCUCUCUCGUAUUUUCCCCAAAACAAAACCCUAUCCUCUCUAUGUAGUUUUUAAUCUGAAAGCAUGUGAAAUCCUUAAAAAUCAACUAUCUCAAAUUUAUCUCUCAAAGGUUGAAGACUCACGUGAAGUCUAUUUGAACUGGGUGAAGACUCACAAACCGACAAUGAAAAUAGUUAUCAAUCUGAACAGGUUUGUCACUUUUCUUCUGUUUUUGGUCGAAGACUAGAAAUUUCUUUUUAGUGAAUAUUAAUUGUAGAGAAUGAUAAUAUUUUGUAUGGAUUUUGUAGACAGUUAAUUGUUGCGGUGUAGGGCUUAAAGUGGGAGUAAUGAGAUGUGAGGUUCGUCGCUAGGGCUAGGUUUAAAGUUGGGGUGUAGAGAAAGGAUGAUGAGGGAAUGAAAAAAUCUUCCUUAGUUGUUUUGUUCGUGAGAAGAAAUGUAGGUAAUAGAAGUCUUUCUAUGUUGAGAUGUCCCUUUCAAUGCAGCAGUAAACACUUGUAUUUUUGGGAUUGUGAGCGUGCAUCCUCAAAAAAUAAGAAAAAAUACUGAAAGUUGAUUAAAUUAAAUGUUAUAUAGUCAAAAAAAGUUUAUCUUUUUAUUAUUCCAGAAUUAAAAAGAACAAAAAAAAAUAUCUUUAACCCAAAUAUGAUGUGUUGUAUUAGGAAAGGAAAGAAAUCUGUAGAUAUGUAAUGUUGUGGUGUCACUUGCUGAAGUUGUUUCACUCUGUUCCUAGAUUUUUUCCAACUAAGAUAGGUGGGAUUAUAAUUCAUUUGGUGUCAAAAUUUGACUAGGUUGUUUGGAUUGGCUCCACUUAUAAGAAAAAUCAUUUGCUUGAAUGCAUAGAACCUAAUUAAAUAGUACCAAAAUCCAUCUCUUAUGAAUAGAAUGCCUUUGAUGAAGCCUCAUCUAUUUAAACUGUUCUCUCUAAUGUGGAAUUUGUUACAAAGAAAGCUGCCUACAUAUUAUAAGAUCAAAUCCUUUGGAUUUUGUUUUGCCUUCUAAUGAUGUUGUGUUAGACUUGUGAGGAAACAAUGGAUCAUAUAUUUUGUGGUCGUGCUAUUAGUGCUUCAGUAUUGCUGAAUUUUUCACAGUAGCUAGGUCUUAAAUAUGUACAAUAGGGUAUUAGAAUUAUAAAACAAUCUAAUUAAUAACUCAGUUAAUAAUAAAACUGGCUGAUUGUAUUAAAAUUACUCAACUGAAUUACAAUAGACUAAUAAGGGAAAUUGCAAUUGAACAAUAAUGAAAACCAACUGAUAGAGAGAAGAUAGAAGGAGAUGAAACGGAGUGAGAUGAGAGAAUAGAAAAUUCAACAUAGCAAUAACUUACUCUACUACAUUUUCUAUUAGCUAUUUAUAGUAUGUUGCAAUCUUCACACACUGCGUAUUUAUAAUAUGUUUUUUUCUUAACCGUGAUUUGAAGUAUUCGGAAAUUCUCUUCAUAUGUUGAUUAUACAAAGAGGUCAACAUCAUAUUACACAUGAGGUCAUUCUUUUAGCUCACAAACAUCAUAAUUUCUUCAAUCUCAAUAUCUCUCUGCUUGUUUUAAUUGAAUUAGAAGACAAUGUUAAACCCAAAUUUAAUUCGAUAAAAGUUUUUAGGCAAUACCUUCAUGGUUGAUUGAUUUAUGAAAUUUAACUCUGAUGCUUCAUAUAUCUUAAUAUUUAUGUAUGUUCUUAUUGUUUUGAGAGUAUGUUGGUUGUUUUGAGCAUUAUGAACUGCCCGUGUCACUUCAUUUAAGCUUGUCACAGUAAAAAAUACAGCAAGAAAAAAAUGUUACCAAAAUUUUAAAAUUCCAAAGGCAAUUGCAUCUUAGUUCAACUUCUGGAUGUAAAUAAUAGGAAGGAAAGGGGUUGGGUGGUGUAGUUAAAAAUAUUUCAAGAAGGACAAUUGUAUCUUACUUUAACUAAAAGUUGUUAUUAUCUUCAGAUAUUUGUUCACCUUGGCCAUUGAAAUGGAUCUCUGUCUUUACAUUAGAGGAAUAGAAUUAUUCUCAUCAUUUGUUGUAGUUCUGUUAUGAGUAUAAUUUAUUUAUUGGUUCAUUCGAUUCUCAUGAUUCGUCCUUGUCAAAAAUAAUAGCCCUGGUAUAAUUAUCUCACAUAGUUAUCCUAGCCCAUUUGUCUAAUUUGAUAAGGUAUCUAUUAUGAUCCUGAGAUGGGUCGUAAAUGAAACUUUCAUGACGUUUUUUUUUUGUCAAGCUUCAGAGGGAAUAUCUAUAUGUAUGGCAUGUAAAUAAAAGUUCUUACUAUAAUUCUCACCAUCUACUUUGAUCUUUUCACAUAAAUACUUCUUAAAGAACAUCUUCCAUUGGUGUUCUUAGGUUAUGACUGAUGUUAGCUAUAAAUAAUAAUUACUUUAUUUGAACAAAGACAUAUAUGAAGAAUGGUUAGUGGGUUCAGCUUUAUCCUCCAGAUUGUAUAAUGCCUUUUCUCUUGGGCUCUUAGUUAUGUAAUUUGCUCAAUAUCUAGCUCUCAAAAUUAUUGAUUAUAAGGUUAACAAUAGUUUUACUCUUUCCUAUAAACAGCAAAUGAAGAAAUCUUUCCUUGAAUUGUUUGAGUGUGUUUAGUUACUAUCAGUGGCCAUGAGGUUGUGCUUUAGUAAACUUUUGUAUACAGUAUGUGCUGGCUUAUAACUUAUGUGUUGAGCACAAACUGAUUUUCAAGAUCUAAACUAUAUUUAGUUACUUCCAGAUUGUCUCGCGGGAGGAAAUAUGGUUCACUGCAUAUUGGUUAUAGGUGUGUACAUUAUUGAAACUUGUAAAAGUAUUGUUACUCGGAUAAUGUGUUUCGUAAAUAUGGAUAAGUUAUUUUACAUUAAUCUGUAUUUGAAAAGUGCAAUUGGACUAUAUAUGAAAAUGACAUGCUUUGAAGGAGAGGAAAGUAUGCAAUAUUCAGGUGUUCCUCUCAUUGUUGUUAUCUUUCAGAUACUUAAUAUGAUCUUCAUAAUUUUCUAGAAGGAAAUUUUCCUUUUUUUUUUUACAAGGUUUGAAGAGUUGAUCUUACAAGUCAAGAUGCAAGUUUUGAAGACUUCGUGCAGUAUUCUUUAUCACUUGCCAGGGUAGUUAGGAAAAAAGUUAUUUUUGCUAAAAGAUUGUGUAAAGAGCACCAUGACAUAUGCAACAUAGUUAUACAAUUACCAGUGGGAUGUAAUACCCUUUUUUGUACAUGUACAUUUGUAUAUGAAAGCAUGAUGUUAUUGAUAUUUUUGUUAUGUGCAUGUGAUUUUCUACAAUAAAAAUAAUAUAUAUAUUUUUAAAAAAU
rnacentral:lncRNA from 1 species